rnacentral:rRNA from 1 species
GGUUAAGCGACCAAGCGUACACGGUGGAUGCCCUGGCAGUCAGAGGCGAUGAAGGACGUGCUAAUCUGCGAAAAGCGCCGGUAAGGUGAUAUGAACCGUUAUAACCGGCGAUGUCCGAAUGGGGAAACCCAGUGUGACUCGUCACACUAUCAUUAACUGAAUCCAUAGGUUAAUGAGGCGAACCGGGGGAACUGAAACAUCUAAGUACCCCGAGGAAAAGAAAUCAACCGAGAUUCCCCCAGUAGCGGCGAGCGAACGGGGAGGAGCCCAGAGCCUGAAUCAGCAUAUGUGUUAGUGGAAGCGUCUGGAAAGGCGCGCGAUACAGGGUGACAGCCCCGUACACAAAAGCGCAUGUGCUGUGAGCUCGAUGAGUAGGGCGGGACACGUGGUAUCCUGUCUGAAUAUGGGGGGACCAUCCUCCAAGGCUAAAUACUCCUGACUGACCGAUAGUGAACCAGUACCGUGAGGGAAAGGCGAAAAGAACCCCGGCGAGGGGAGUGAAACAGAACCUGAAACCGUG